rnacentral:rRNA from 1 species
CCUACGGGUGGCAGCAGUGAGGAAUAUUGGUCAAUGGGCGUAAGCCUGAACCAGCCAAGUAGCGUGAGGGAUGAAGGUUCUAUGGAUCGUAAACCUCUUUUAUAAGGGAAUAAAGUGUGGGACGUGUCCUGUUUUGUAUGUACCUUAUGAAUAAGGAUCGGCUAACUCCGUGCCAGCAGCCGCGGUAAUACGGAGGAUCCGAGCGUUAUCCGGAUUUAUUGGGUUUAAAGGGUGCGUAGGCGGCCUUUUAAGUCAGCGGUGAAAGUCUGUGGCUCAACCAUAGAAUUGCCGUGUAAACUGGGAGGCUUGAGUAUGUUUGAGGCAGGCGGAAUUCGUGGUGUAGCGGUGAAAUGCUUAGAUAUCACGCAGAACCCCGAUUGCGAAGGCAGCCUGCCAAGCCAUGACUGACGCUGAUGCACGAAAGCGUGGGGAUCAAACAGGAUUAGAUACCCUGGUAGUC